rnacentral:rRNA from 1 species
GACGAACUGUCCUAACGUUGUUCGGAAUCACUGGGCUUAAAGGGCGCGUAGGCGGUCCGCCAAGUCAGGGGUGAAAUCCUGCAGCUUAACUGUAGAAGUGCCUCUGAUACUGGCGGUCUUGAGGGAAAUAGGGGUGUGCGGAACUUCCAGUGGAGCGGUGAAAUGCGUUGAUAUUGGGAGGAACGCCGGAGGCGAAAGCGGCGCACUGGAUUUCUUCUGACGCUGAGGCGCGAAAGCUAGGGGAGCAAACGGG